rnacentral:lncRNA from 1 species
ACUAAUCAAAACACUCAACCUCACUCUCUCUUCUCCCUUUCCCCGAAGACUCUCUCUCUUACCCUCCCUCUGCAACUUUCUCAACCGACGUCCAAACCACCCAAACAUGACCUGUAAUCUCCAUCUUUGAACUCCCCUCAACCCCACGAACACAACCAUGUAACCAGAUCUCGAUUUGGUUGAGGUUUGACUCCCCAACUCGGAAGCUCCGACUCGGUGAGUUCUGGAUCAACGAUUUUCAGAUUGAGUCACGGCGUUUUAGGACUUAGGGAAGCUACUACUAAACUCCUUAAAGAUCCUAGAUUAGUUUUGGUGAAGAGUUGACAUAAAAAAACAUGAGGUUUCAAGAAGUUCCAGUUUGGCCGUACCUUUCGAGCCAUUUUUAGGCCACCUUCGUCUACUUUUUGGACCUUUGAAAGGUAUAACGUGAUUCUACUCUUCAUAAGCUACAUUUCUAUAUAAAUUUUGUGAAAAAUGGUUGAGAAAUAAAAAAGAUAUGAAGGUUUGAAAAAUUACCCAGUUUUCGAGGACAUUUUUCCAGAUUCCAGCGAACCAAACAUCGAUCGACUGCAACCGGCGAGGCUUGAUGGAGAAGAGGACGGAAUAUUUUGUCAAAGUUGAUGGAAUAUUCUAAUGGCGUCACCUGAAGCCGUUAACUUCUGUUACUUUUUAACGAAAUAUUCCUAACGGCCGUUAGGGUUAGCCUGCGCGUGGUGGUGCGUAUGGUCGUGCCCUAGGCGGCACGUCUGGCCUCCGAUUGACCGUCUGUCAAUUUGUGUAGCUCCGUGACGUCGAGUAGAUUGAUUUCAUAUAUUCAAACCCUAUGUUUAAGCAAUCUACAGAGGUUUUAUUUAAGUUUCCGUAUAUGUGUUAUUAAACUCAUUAAAUUAGUAAUUUUACAUAUAGGGGAAACGUAUUCUGAGGGUGUACGAGAUCAAGCAAGGUUCGGAGGCUUCGUUUCGACUACAUAUCUAUGAGUGGGUCAUUUCUUUUUAUAAGUAUACACAUACUUGCUAGUUUCCAGUUAUACGUUGAAAAGAAUUUACUACGUAUGCCUUGCUUGGACUAAAAUUACAUGAAGUAGCGAAAUGACGAAAUUUAGGAAAUUAUUCUGAACCCUAUAGGUUCACAGGUAUGCAUGAGAUACCAUGAUUAUAUUUUACAACUAUGAUUAAUUAAUGUUAUAAGAACUACUGUGUUGUUGUGAAAUGCUAAAAUAAUCCUACGGGAUACGCAGGUAAGUUACUUUGUUGACUAGAAAUAUUGAAUUGUUAUAGCAUGAUUAUAUUUAUGUUAUUUGCUCAUCAUUGCUGCACCCCGAUGUUAAUACUCACCUUAGGGCCAGGGCCAGUCUUUCACGUGUAAGUUCACAUCAGCACCGUUCGCUCGCCUUGGAUCCAAGUUAGGUGCCAGUCCUGUCAUACAGAUUGCAUUAGGCAAUUCCGACUUGUAUGUGACCAUGCUUUGGCGCCAUCUUUCACAUGAUCGUAGUACUAGAGCGCAUUGAUUACACCCAUUCCUGUUUGUUUAAGAAAUUAUCUGUACGAACUCGUGUGUCAGCAUAGGUUGAUAAGCAUUCGUUAUGAUGUGUUUACUAUUUUGAGAUUAUGUGAUUGCGCUCACCUUAUUCUUAUCUGAUAGCUGUACUUUAUUGAUUUUCUUAAGACUUGCAGGCUACGGUAAGUAUUUUCUUAUUAUAUGUAGUACGUAUAUUUUUGGAAACUAUACUUGGUUUUACGGCGAGGGGUUAUAAUGUUUUUGACAAGGUUUUUACAAAACGUUAUUUUCUGAUCCACUCAACUUUGUUUUUCGCCCCUCCAUAAAUAUUAACAACCAUAUAAAUAUUACAGGCAGAAUAUGUAAUUACAAACACAUCUAUAGCGAGUUGGAUAAGGUCUAGAUGUGUGGUUAACAAAGGGAGGGGUUUGAAUCCCCCUGGUGUUUUUUUUUCUUUCUUAUUUUCUUUUCCUUUUCCUUUUUUCUUUUGUUUUCUCUUGCCUUUCAACUAAAUAAUUCAUAAUUUAAAUUUAUAU